rnacentral:rRNA from 1 species
ACGACGUAGAUAGGCUGGGUGUGUAAGCGUAGCGAUACGUUGAGCUAACCAGUACUAAUGACCCGAGAGGCUUAACCUUACAACACCGAAGGUGUUU